rnacentral:rRNA from 1 species
AGGGCGCAUGGUGGAUGCCUUGGCAACAGGAGCCGAAGAAGGACGUGGGAAUCUGCGAUAAGCCUGGUGGAGUCGAUAACCGGACGUUGAGACCAGGAUUUCCGAAUGGGGGAACCCCGCACGACUUUCAAGAUCGUGUGACCGCCUGCUGAACACAUAGGCAGGUUGGAGGGAACGCAGGGAAGUGAAACAUCUCAGUACCUGCAGGAAGAGAAAACAAAAGUGAUUCCGUGAGUAGUGGCGAGCGAAAGCGGAGGAGGCUAAACCGUGUGUGUGUUCAAGCCGGCAGGUGUUGCAUGUGCGGGGUUGUGGGGGCCUGUGUGAUCCUGCUGCCGUGGGAUCGGCUUGCAUGUGGUGUGAAGUUGAAUCGUCUGGGAAGGCGGACCGUAGUGGGUGAGAGUCCCGUAGUCGAAAUGUGUUCCGCCGCUGUUGGAGGGUCGCCCGAGUAGCACGGGGCCCGAGGAAUCCCGUGUGAAUCUGCCAGGACCACCUGGUAAGCCUGAAUACUACCUGUUGACCGAUAGCGGAUCAGUACCGUGAGGGAAUGGUGAAAAGUACCCCGGGAGGGGAGUGAAAUAGUACCUGAAACCAUGUGCCUACAAACCGUCGGAGCCUCCUUGUUGGGGUGACGGCGUGCCUUUUGAAGAAUGAGCCUGCGAGUCAGCGGCAUGUCGCGAGGUUAACCCGUGUGGGGAAGCCGUAGCGAAAGCGAGUCUGAAUAGGGCGAUUCAGUCGCGUGUCCUAGACCCGAAGCGGAGUGAUCUACCCAUGGCCAGGUUGAAGCGCGUGUAAGAGCGCGUGGAGGACCGAACCCACUUCAGUUGAAAAUGGAGGGGAUGAGCCGUGGGUAGGGGUGAAAGGCCAAUCAAACUCCGUGAUAGCUGGUUCUCCCCGAAAUGCAUUUAGGUGCAGCGUCACGUGUUUCUUCCCGGAGGUAGAGCUACUGGAUGGCUGAUGGGCCCCAACGGGUUACUGACGUCAACCAAACUCCGAAUGCCGGGAAGUGAGAGCGUGGCAGUGAGACUGUGGGGGAUAAGCUUCAUAGUCGAGAGGGAAACAGCCCAGACCACCGGUUAAGGCCCCUAAGCGUGUGCUAAGUGGGAAAGGAUGUGGAGUUGCUGAGACAACCAGGAGGUUGGCUUAGAAGCAGCCAUCCUUUAAAGAAAGCGUAAUAGCUCACUGGUCAAGCGAGCCCGCGCCGAAAAUGUAACGGGGCUAAAGUUCGGUACCGAAGCUACGGAAUCGUCGCAAGACGAUUGGUAGGCGAGCGUCUUCAAGGAGAUACACGGUGGACGGUGACGACCACUAACGGCCUUCAGGAGUGACUAUGCGGGCAUGAGUAGCGAUAAACCGGGUGAGAAACCCGGUCGCCGUAAGCCCAAGGUUUCCUGGGGAAGGAUAAUCCUCCCAUGGGUUAGUCGAUUCCUAAGCCGAGGCCGAGAGGCGUAGGUGAUGGAAAGCAGGUCAAUAUUCCUGCACCACUAGGGAUGGCAUUGACGUAAGCGGGGACGGAGAAGGGUAGGCCGAGCCAGGUGAUUGGUUCCUGGUUCAAGCCUGUAGGCAGAUUCCAUAGGACCCGACAGGGACAAACGUGGAGUCAAUGCCGAGAGGUGAUGAGGUUGAGCUUCGGCUCUAAAACUCGGUGAUCCCAAGCUUCCAAGAAAAGCCGCGUGCAGAGCCUCUUUGGUGAUCGUACUGCAAACCGACUCAGGUGGGCGGGAAGAAUAUUCCAAGGCGCGUGAGAGAACCCCGGUUAAGGAACUCGGCAAAUUGACACCGUAACUUCGGAAGAAGGUGUGCCUUUAGUAGGUGAAGUCGUACAGAUGGAGCCCAAUGAGGCCGCAGAGAAUCGGUGGCUGCGACUGUUUAAUAAAAACACAGCACUCUGCAAAGACGAAAGUCGACGUAUAGGGUGUGACGCCUGCCCGGUGCUGGAAGAUUAAAUGAUGGGGUGCAAGCUCUUGAUUGAAGUCCCAGUAAACGGCGGCCGUAACUAUAACGGUCCUAAGGUAGCGAAAUUCCUUGUCGGGUAAGUUCCGACCUGCACGAAUGGAGUAACGACUUCCCCGCUGUCUCAACCAUGAACUCGGCGAAAUUGCAUUACGAGUAAAGAUGCUCGUUACGCGCAGAAGGACGGAAAGACCCCGAGACCUUUACUAUAGUUUGGUAUUGGUGUUCGGUGUGGCUUGUGUAGGAUAGGUGGGAGACUGUGAAGCCGGCACGCCAGUGCUGGUGGAGUCAUCGUUGAAAUACCACUCUGGUCACUCUGGACAUCUAACUUCGGCCCGUGAUCCGGGUCAGGGACAGUGCCUGAUGGGUAGUUUAACUGGGGCGGUUGCCUCCCAAAAUGUAACGGAGGCGCCCAAAGGUCCCCUCAGCCUGGUUGGCAAUCAGGUGUUGAGUGCAAGUGCACAAGGGAGCUUGACUGUGAGAGUGGCAGCUCGAGCAGGGACGAAAGUCGGGACUAGUGAUCCGGCACUGGCUUGUGGAAGCGGUGUCGCUCAACGGAUAAAAGGUACCUCGGGGAUAACAGGCUGAUCUUGCCCAAGAGUCCAUAUCGACGGCAUGGUUUGGCACCUCGAUGUCGGCUCGUCGCAUCCUGGGGCUGGAGUAGGUCCCAAGGGUUGGGCUGUUCGCCCAUUAAAGCGGUACGCGAGCUGGGUUCAGAACGUCGUGAGACAGUUCGGUCCCUAUCCGCUGCGCGCGUUGGAAAUUUGAGAAGGUCUGUCCUUAGUACGAGAGGACCGGGACGGACGAACCUCUGGUAUGUCAGUUGUACCGCCAGGUGCAUGGCUGAUUAGCUACGUUCGGGAUGGAUAACCGCUGAAAGCAUCUAAGCGGGAAGCCCACCUUAAGAUUAGAUUUCCCUAAAGAGCCGUUGU